UUUAUGGAGAGUUUGAUCCUGGCUCAGGAUGAACGCUGGCGGCGUGCCUAAUACAUGCAAGUCGAGCGAACAGACAAGGAGCUUGCUCCUUUGACGUUAGCGGCGGACGGGUGAGUAACACGUGGGUAACCUACCUAUAAGACUGGGAUAACUUCGGGAAACCGGAGCUAAUACCGGAUAAUAUUUCGAACCGCAUGGUUCGAUAGUGAAAGAUGGUUUUGCUAUCACUUAUAGAUGGACCCGCGGCGUAUUAGCUAGUUGGUAAGGUAACGGCUUACCAAGGCGACGAUACGUAGCCGACCUGAGAGGGUGAUCGGCCACACUGGAACUGAGACACGGUCCAGACUCCUACGGGAGGCAGCAGUAGGGAAUCUUCCGCAAUGGGCGAAAGCCUGACGGAGCAACGCCGCGUGAGUGAUGAAGGUCUUCGGAUCGUAAAACUCUGUUAUUAGGGAAGAACAUACGUGUAAGUAACUGUGCACGUCUUGACGGUACCUAAUCAGAAAGCCACGGCUAACUACGUGCCAGCAGCCGCGGUAAUACGUAGGUGGCAAGCGUUAUCCGGAAUUAUUGGGCGUAAAGCGCGCGUAGGCGGUUUUUUAAGUCUGAUGUGAAAGCCCACGGCUCAACCGUGGAGGGUCAUUGGAAACUGGAAAACUUGAGUGCAGAAGAGGAAAGUGGAAUUCCAUGUGUAGCGGUGAAAUGCGCAGAGAUAUGGAGGAACACCAGUGGCGAAGGCGACUUUCUGGUCUGUAACUGACGCUGAUGUGCGAAAGCGUGGGGAUCAAACAGGAUUAGAUACCCUGGUAGUCCACGCCGUAAACGAUGAGUGCUAAGUGUUAGGGGGUUUCCGCCCCUUAGUGCUGCAGCUAACGCAUUAAGCACUCCGCCUGGGGAGUACGACCGCAAGGUUGAAACUCAAAGGAAUUGACGGGGACCCGCACAAGCGGUGGAGCAUGUGGUUUAAUUCGAAGCAACGCGAAGAACCUUACCAAAUCUUGACAUCCUUUGACAACUCUAGAGAUAGAGCCUUCCCCUUCGGGGGACAAAGUGACAGGUGGUGCAUGGUUGUCGUCAGCUCGUGUCGUGAGAUGUUGGGUUAAGUCCCGCAACGAGCGCAACCCUUAAGCUUAGUUGCCAUCAUUAAGUUGGGCACUCUAAGUUGACUGCCGGUGACAAACCGGAGGAAGGUGGGGAUGACGUCAAAUCAUCAUGCCCCUUAUGAUUUGGGCUACACACGUGCUACAAUGGACAAUACAAAGGGCAGCGAAACCGCGAGGUCAAGCAAAUCCCAUAAAGUUGUUCUCAGUUCGGAUUGUAGUCUGCAACUCGACUACAUGAAGCUGGAAUCGCUAGUAAUCGUAGAUCAGCAUGCUACGGUGAAUACGUUCCCGGGUCUUGUACACACCGCCCGUCACACCACGAGAGUUUGUAACACCCGAAGCCGGUGGAGUAACCAUUUGGAGCUAGCCGUCGAAGGUGGGACAAAUGAUUGGGGUGAAGUCGUAACAAGGUAGCCGUAUCGGAAGGUGCGGCUGGAUCACCUCCUUUCU
rnacentral:rRNA from 1 species